UUUUUAACAAAUGCUGUCAGUACUCUAUUGGCAAAAUCAAUCAUGGGUGCAGAGAGGUUGGGACUGAGUAAUAAAAACACACCCACAGAGAACCAAGAAGUUUUCAAAAAUCUCUUGUGGAAGAAUGCACUUCAGAACCACAGGCCCACUGUAAACCAUGAAUUGCCUUAGCUCUGUGGCCUUCCAUCUGUAUUUCUGUAAAUACAGGCGAUGCAACUUGCCAUUAUGUUAGUUAGCAAGUUAGCUCUGGUGUAGCAAAAAUCAAAGUUUGCAGCACUCGCGUAUCGGAGAUCACAGUAUCCGCUCGAAGGCAGAGGACAAGUGUUUAGAGCAAACGUUUGCAUUUCUGAUUUUGUCAUCGCCGUGAGUUCAACAGGUGGGAUAAUCCCAAAUCCCUAUGUAAUUUUCAGUUAGUGAUCACUGUUGAUCUUGCAACAUGUACACCGACCGUGACUUUGGUGUGUAGGCCAAAUAUGUUUCUCAUGGUUCUCUUUUUCACACACUCAAAACUAUUGUUCUUUUUCAAGUGUUCCAUUCAUUCACCUCUUUAUCAGAUGGCACAGGUGUGGAAGGUUGUAGAAUUCCGGGACAAAGUCACUGCCAUAGUGCCAUGUAGUUGGUUGGAGGAGGCAGGCAAUUUUUGGAACUGUUACUGGCCUGGCUCCUAUGACCACUGGCGGCUCCAAAAAUCAGUUUUAAACCACCUUCCACCAGGUCAAAACUGGGAUGUUUUUGAUGACGUGAGGGUCUUGGUAGGCUGUGGUAAGGAAACAUACUGCAUUAUUACUGCAGUUCCUAUGAGCACUGGCUGUUAUUUUCCCAUAGGAAAAAUCUCAAGAUCUCUAAGCAGCUCUGGAUGGUAUGCUGUCAAUAUUAUUAAUGCUAGAACUUUUGAAAAUGGGUAAACCAUCAAUGUUAAAUUGCAAUCGAAUUGUCUGAAGGCAACUAGGUAGGUGGAUUGAAUUCAAUUUGGACAAAAUUGAAUCCAAUCCAAAGCCAAUCCAAAAUGAUGAUAUUCACCCCCACCUAAUGUUCCCACAGCAAUAUUGACAAGAGCAGUAACUGUAACGAGAUUAAUUUCAAAAGUCGUUGCCCAUUGCUUAAGUUUAUCUCGUAGACUCAUCUCCCCAGACUCACUUUCAUCAGAGCUGGAUGAUUCACUAAAAUCUUCUGUCUGUACUGUCACUGACACAACUGUUUGUACUGUGUUGACGAGGUCUGUUCGCAUAGUCUAAAGCUGCCUCACAAAGUGGUAGAUGUGAUGAGCUUUCACUAAGGGGGACCUUUUCGGCCUGACUAAUUGUCACAUUAAAUUGCUGCAAAAUCUCA